rnacentral:lncRNA from 1 species
AAUAUAGAUGGAUUAUGAUGAUUGAUUUUGUAACAACAUUCUGUUAUUUGCUUGAUACGAAAAAGAAAGACGGAGUGUCUCUUUUUCUUCUAUUCAUUUGUCUUUUUUGUCUUUCUAGGUUAAAGCUUUUCUUCAUCCUCUGUUCAUCAUCUUUGCUCUCCCACGGAAGCUUAUGCAUUGCUUCAGUUCAAACAAUCCUUUCAAAUUUCCGACUACUUUAGUUGUUGGGAUUCUGAAUCCCGGCAUUAUGAUUACCCAAGAACAAAGUCUUACAAUAACUUCAAUUAUUCUUCUUCGAUCCCACAUAACAUUGGCCGAUUGACGAAUUUGAGGCAUUUCAACCUUUCUAAUUCUUACUUUGAUGGAAAAAUCCCAACAGAAAUCUCAUACCUUUCCAAUUUGGUUUCACUUCAUCUUUCUGAUAGUUUUGGAUUACAACUUGAUGAGAGAACAUUUGAAGCAAUAUUUCAGAACUUCACAAAUCUGGAGAUACUUUCUCUCUCUUAUGUCAACAUCUCAUCUCCGAAUAUUUCUUCUUCCUUAAGGUAUGUGGAUCUUGCACAUACUAAUCUGCGAGGUGUUCUCACAGAGAGCUUUUUCCUUCUGCUAAACAGCUUGGAAGCGCUCAAAUUAAGUGGUAAUGAUCUUCUCAAAGGAGUUUUUCCAAAGAUCCACCCGAGCAGCACUCUGUUGGAGUUGAGUAUUGCAUACACAGGGUGUUGCGGUUUUGGGGUAAUCGUUUCACUGGCCAUAUUCCUUCCACAAUCUCUAAAUUGAAGCACCUCACACUUUUGGUUCUUUUUGAUAACUCCCUUGGAGGCAUAAUUCCCCAUGUGUUCUCUAACCUCCAAGAGCUAGUUUUCUUGGAUCUUUUUAAUAACAACUUCACCGGUCCAUUUCCCUCUUCAAUGUUAAGCUUGACAAGUCUUCGAUCCUUAGAUUUGUCUCACAACUCACUGAAUGGAACAAUACUCUCUUGGGUGUUUAGCCUCCCUUCCUUACUUUAUUUGAAUCUCCAUCAUAACCAAUUCAGUAGAGUGGCUGAUGAGAUCAAAACAAACCCAACAUUAGUGACUUUGUAUUUAAGUCAUAAUCAACUCAAUGGUCCUUUUCCUCUAUCACUUGUGAAUCUCACAAGCCUAGACUUCCUUGACUUUUCAUCAAAUAACAUCACCCGCGAUGUGGGAAUAAAUAUCACCUUUCCUUGCCUAUCAUCUUUGUUCUUAUCAUCUUGUGAACUGAAGGAUUUUCAACACUUCUUGGGAAAUUUAAAGACACUUCAGUUCUUGGAUAUUUCUAACAAUAAGAUACGUGGUCGAAUCCCUAACUGGUUUAGCAGCAUGAGGUGGGACUCGCUGCGGUUUCUGAACCUUUCAUAUAAUUCAUUAACACACCUACCACAAUUGUAUUAUUAUAGUCUAGAGUAUCUUGAUCUGAAAUUUAACUCCCUUCAGGGUCCACUACCUUCAUCCAUUUGUAACAUAAGGAAACUUACCUUUUUAGAUUUAUCACGCAACAACUUCAGUAACUCGAUUCCAAGUUGCUUGGGAAGAAUGGCUAGUCUAACAGUGCUGGACUUAAGAAAGAACAAUUUCACAGGGAGUCUUCCCCCAUUAUGUGCACAGAGCACUUCAUUGAGUACCAUUGUCGUAAAUGGUAAUCUAUUUGAAGGACCUGUACCUGUGUCGUUGCUCAAGAGCUACAGGUCCUUAUAUUAAAGUCGAACAAGUUCCAUGGACCUAUAAGUACGUGUCAGACUAAGUUUUGCUUUCCCAAGUUGCGAAUUUUUGAUCUUUCUCGUAAUGAUUUCAGUGGCUCACUUCCUGCGAAGUGCAAUAAGCAUAUAGAAGAAGCAUGAAAUAGAAAGAGUAGCAUUGCUUAAUCAGCUAGUACUGUAGCUUAUCGUAAUCACUAGUAAUUGAUGAAUCACACUUGAGCAUAUCAUGAAUUUGGGUUAAAGACUAGAAGUCAUCGUCUGCUAGUUAAUACGAGACGGUCCUACGAAGAAUAAUGGAGUUUCCCUAAUUAAUUUAAUGUGAAAAGUCUUGUGUACCUAACCAGUUAGAAUGUUCAAAUACUUUUAACUAUAGGCUUUAGGGACACUUACAAAAAGUGCUAAUUGCCGCUAAAAAUACAUGUUUAGUAGCGAUUAAGCUAUAGCCGUUAAUUAAUUACCCCUAAAGAUCAUUUUUGAUGUAGUGUCGAUCACUAGACCUUUAUCUUGAAUCGAGGGUCCACUACUAGAAAACUGUAAAUUACCUGGGAAUUUCAUUUAGGGAUUAUUUUCGCAGAAAUUUCCUAUGAAUUUUCACGCGGAAAUGUGAAAUGUCUAAAUUCUAGACUUCUCUACAUGCGAAAAAUAAUUUCCCAGAAAAAUUGGUAGGUAACUUUGGCGCCAUUUUUUACAAAAAUUAUUACCUGGGGAAUUAUUUGGGAAAAAUAAUUUGCAAGUAGCAUUUUCAUAGGUAAAUUCGCAAGUAAUAAAAAAAAUUAUUUUUUUAGUUGUUUGCAAGAAAAUUCCUAGAAAAACCUAUUAUCAGAUUUAGCUAGAAAUAAUUACUUGAAAAUUUAUUUGCAAAUAAUUUUAUACGUGUUAUUACCUGGGGAUUCAUGUUCUACGAAUUUUGUUGGGAAUUUAUUUCUUGAGGAUUUACUUGGGAAUUUUCUUACUUAGAAGAAUUACUUGGGGAUUUUAUUGUUGUGAAUUUGGUUGAAGAUUUUUAGAGGAAUGCAAACUUGAAUUUUUUUUAAAUACAAUUUAAUUGGAAGUAUUUUCUUGGAAUCUAAGGAUUUUUUUAUUUGGAGUCUUCAAGAAAUAUUUUCUUUAAAAUAUAUUUAACAAAAUCUAAAACUAUAAUAAUACAAAAAAUAACAAUGACAUUAGAAAGAAUUUUAUUGUUAAAUAUAUAUUCUACUUUUUAGAUUUAAAUAAAUUAUUAUACAAUAAUAUUAAUCUAACACUAUCUUGGAACAUUACCACAAAUGUCAUGAACAAUAUUUUUAACUUAUAUAUAGUCACAAUAUUUAGUCCUAAAAACUAAUGAUGCCCUUUUUUUGUUUUUGAAAGAUACAAAGCAUUAAAAUUAUAUGGCUAGUUAUUUAUCCUUAGAAAAAUAACUAUCAUAAAUAUAUUUAUUUUUUAUUAGAUAUUACUUUAUAUUAAAUUUCGUAUUAUUGAAUAAGUCAAUCACUGUUUAAGUAGAGUAAAAUUAAAUUAUAUACAUUAUUAAUGUGAAUUUUAAUCAACCCCUAGUUGAUAGAAUUAUAUUAAAUGAAAAAUAAAUAAANNNNNNNNNNNNNNNNNNNNNNNNNNNNNNNNNNNNNNNNNNNNNNNNNNNNNNNNNNNNNNNNNNNNNNNNNNNNNNNNNNNNNNNNNNNNNNNNNNNNNNNNNNNNNNNNNNNNNNNNNNNNNNNNNNNNNNNNNNNNNNNNNNNNNNNNNNNNNNNNNNNNNNNNNNNNNNNNNNNNNNNNNNNNNNNNNNNNNNNNNNNNNNNNNNNNNNNNNNNNNNNNNNNNNNNNNNNNNNNNNNNNNNNNNNNNNNNNNNNNNNNNNNNNNNNNNNNNNNNNNNNNNNNNNNNNNNNNNNNNNNNNNNNNNNNNNNNUGGUAUGAAAAAUGGUAUGCAAGAUAAAUGGGUGGGCAGUGGGGUGAGUGGUGUUAGAUGUAACUGGGAAAUAAAAAUUAAUAUUAUUUACAAGAAUUUUUUAAAGAUUAAUUAGAAUAUCUUUACGCGGAUUUACUUGCGAAUAAAUUGGAAAAAAUUUGGGAUAUUUUUGGUGUUUUUUGCAAGAAAAAUCGCAAGUUAUUUACCUGCGAAAUUUAAAUCCCUAAGUAAAUUACUUGGGGAUUUUGAAAUUCACAGGAAAUAAUUACCUACGAAGGUUUUACCUUUGGAUUCUUUUUGAUAGGAAAAUCCGUAGGAAACAUAUUUUCCUGCGAAUUUUCAUUAAUAAUUCCCAGAAAAAUCUCAAUGUAAUUCACAUUUUUCUUGUAGUGGUCUACGAAAACAGCCUCUCUACUACUUUGGUUAUUCUCCCAUCUCUUCAUGUUUGAACUGUAUCAUAUAUAUGGAGAUUCCCUCAUUAACUAAAUAUGAAAAGUCUUGGAAAUUUCUCAUAAAAUGAUCUUCACCAAGUUAUUCAAAACAUGCUAAUUAUGCAGAAAAUUAAGACACAUAUCAAACAAAAUUUUGAAUAAAAAGCAAAUAAAAGAAAAAGAAAAAAAAUUUCCACACGGUAUUAUUGUUCAUUUUUUUCCUCACUUGACUUAGUCAAGAAAUAGUUUCUCUCAUUGGAAAUUUCUUAGAAGUUCUGCAGAAAAUUUUCCACAUAAUGGGACCAAUUUCGCAUCAUCUUGCGUAACACACCCUGCAGAGAUAGUUAAUGACUUUUUUUUCCCACAUAAUGGGACCAACUUCACAUCAUCUUGCCUAACACACACUGCAACGAUAAUUAAUGACCUCGAAAUGAACUCAACAUCUAGAGAAAAUUAGGAUAUAGAGAGAAUUAUUUUGUUAAGUCUUCUCCGUCCUCUAAAAAGUCUUGUGGAACACUACAAAAUAUGAGUAACAAGUUGUUAGAAGUGAGUAGUACUCAUCUAUGGACCACAAGUUGCGUAGUUGGUGAUGUGAAAGUGGUACUAUCUACCAACACUGACUUAAAGACUUGAGUUAACACUUGGGACAACUUUUUUUGCAACCACAAAUUAGUUAGUACCCCAUUUUAUACAUCAUAGUCUCAUGCAUAGUCAAGUCAACAACGUUACUUUAUAAAAUAAUGUUUAGUUAACUUUUUUCUUUAUUUAAUAUGGAGGUCGUUGUAAUAAUUAAGAAAUAAAAUAGUGUUUAGAUAAUUAUAGCAUUCUUUCUUACAUGACUACUUAUUUUAUUGAUUUAUUUAUAUAUUAACGAUCAUCAUGAACCCAUAUUAUUAUUUUUACCUUUUUUAUUCCUAUUACUAUUUUUAUUUAUUCAUUAUUGAAUAUUCUAAAGCCUACCAAACGGUAAAACCUUUUGCAUUAUGCAAAAUAAAUUGUUGGGUGUUAAAAAAAGAUCAAAUUUGUUUUUUGGUGUAUACUUUGAAUUACAAGCACUGCAACAAACACUACAACAAAAAUAACUUUUAGCGGCAAUAAAUAUACACAUUAUUAAAGAGUGUUAAAGAUUUUGCCGGUAUUAGUUAAGUGUCAUUAGAUCCAAUGUCGCUAAAGGCUUUAGGGGCAUAUGCAAAGAGUGUUAAUUGCCGUUAAAAAUACAUAUUUAGCGGCAAUUAAACUAAAUUAAUUGCCGUUAUAUAUAGAUAAUUUUUUAUGUAGCGAAAUCAAUACUAUUUUAAUAUUAUUAUAUCAACUUAUCAAAUUCAGUGCAAUUAUUUCAAUACCAUUGUUUAAUCUUCUUAAUGUUUUGAGUAAGAUUUGAUUAUUCUAACUUUAUAUUAUAUUUUUUCAUUGAAAUUUUUUGUUGUUUGUAUUCUUACUUCAUAAAGGUCUGCGCACAUCCUACCUUCUUGAAACUUUACUCGUAGGAUUACAUUAAUCAGUAUGUUAUAGGUAUUCAAUUUACAUAGGACACUUAGAAAGUGGUAUAUAUCUGUGUGGAUAAAACUGAUUGAUUUGUAAGAAGAACAUCCAUCCUGUUAUUUGGUGAAAACAAACAAACAAAAAAUGGCCAUGAGUCUGUUUUUCUUUUAUUCAUUUCUCUGUUUUGUGUUUUUAAUACGUGAAUGUUUUUCUUCAUCCUUUGAUCAUCAUCUUUGCUCUCCCACUGAAGCUUCUGCUUUGCUUCUGUUCAAACAAUCCUUUCAAAAUAUGUCCGAAGAGUACUGUAGUUAUUGGUGUGAUGAAGAUGUUUCCCAAAACAAAGUCUUGGAAUGAGAGUAGGGAUUGCUGCAGUUGGGAUGGAGUCACUUGUGACUUAUUAAACGGUCAUGUUAUCAGGUUAGACCUUAGUUGUAGUCGGCUUUUUGGCACUUUUCAUCCCAAUAGCAGCCUCUUCCAACUUCAUCAUCUCCAAACACUAAACCUUGCUUACAAUGACUUCAACUAUUCUUCAAUCCCACAUAACAUUGGCUGAUUGACGAAUUUGAGGCAUUUCAACCUUUCUAAUUCUUACUUUGAUGGAAAAAUCCCAACAGAAAUCUCAUACCUUUCCAAUUUGGUUUCACUUCAUCUUUCUGAUUGUUGACACCCAAUUUUGACCCUCUACGAUAGAAAUUUAAUUUUGAGCUUCUCUAAUUUAAAAAGAUUUAGAAGAAUUAAUUUUAUAAAAAUUAAAAUAAUUUGCGAGUUAUCUUAAAUAGUUUGUCAUUUUUAUAAAUUUUAAAUAAUAUAUAUGUUUUAUAUAAUUAUACAUUAAUUUGUACAUUUUAUGAAUAUUCGAAAAUAGUCUAAAAAUAUUUUUUCUUUUAAUUAAAUAUUGGUUAGUUAAUUUUAGUUAUAUAAUAGUUUAUAUUUUUAAAUUAUUUAGUUUAUAAUUAAAUUAAUUAUUUUAUUUCGUUAAGAUUAAAGAGCUUGUAAGUUAAUUAUGUUAGUUUGUCUUAUUUAAAUUGCUAGCCGAACUUAUCCCUACAUCUCUAAUCCCCGAUUGGCUAUGAUUUAAAUCAUAUGGCAAAGGCUUAAGUUAAUUCCCACCAAUCUAAUUUUGGACUUGCAUUUUGCAUUUUUAGCAAACUUCCAGCAGCCCAUUUUCCCCACUGUUCCAGCACAACUCCACCUAUCUUCCAACCCAUUCCAAUCUUCCCAACAACAAAUUAAUUCCCAGCCCACUCCCCUCUUCCUUCACAAAAUAGAACCCAGUAGGACAUUCCAGCUCCAAAUGUUCUUAGACAGAACAGUGAGCAAACGGAAAGCAACACAGUACAGCGUCAAAUUCCAACAGCAAUCUCACGGCAUCCAACUCCAAUUCUCUCCAACGUUCACAAGCCAUCAGCAGCGGUGUUAAUUUAUACGGAGACAGACGGAAAGUAACGAGGAACAGAGAGGGUACACUGCGAUUUUGUCUCCUUCCUCACGUCCCUCUCGAUCCGUACAUUAGCAGCAGCAUACGUUUUCUCCCCUUUCCUCUUUCGAAAUGGGGCGAAAAAUUUGAGAAAAGUAUGUCUUCCUUUAUUGGUGAAAAAAUUGGAAGUUUGAAUUUUGGAUGGGCCUUUCUUAUCGAUUUUUUCAUCCAUUUCCCCCCAACUUUGGAACCCUAAUUUCCUUACUAUAUAUGUUUGUUGUUGUUUACUGUUGGAAAGGGGGGCCCUUUUUUUAGUUAGAAAAAUUCUGGCGAAGGCAGAGAAAAGGAUAGGAAAGGUUAGAGAGAUUUUUUUCAGUCGGAUUUCUUUAGCAAAAUACCUAGACAGCCUAAGCGGAGUAGUCGAAAUACGUACUAAAUACAUUAAGAAAGCAAAGGAGAAUUAAGUUUUCUUUGUUUUCAUUUCGCUACCGGCUCCUUCAAAGCUCGGUUGGGAUGAGAUUUGCCCGAGUCCGCUGUUUCUUUGCUUGUGUCUCGCGUUAGUGUGAAAGUCGCUGCUCAUCCGCUCGCCUCGCCCUUGUUCGCUGCCCGAAAAAGGUAUUGUCUCUUUCUUUAUGACACUCUCUUCGCCCUUUUUCCGGUUUCUAAGAAAAUGAUGUGUUCUGAUGUCGGAAAAGUCCCAUUACAUGGCUGUUUGUUAUUAGUUAUUGUUGGUUUGUUAAAUGUCCCGAUGUGACCUAUUUGUUCCUAUAUGAGUCCAUUAAUCAGUCGAGUCGAGGUUUGUAACUUUGCAUUUAGCGUUGGUGUUUCUUUGCUAUUCUUUUAAGUUCUGUUCGUGAUCCCUUAUCUCAACUUUAAUGCUUGAUGUGCUUGGGUUUGGGUUACUUUGUUUGUGCAAUUUAAGUAUUAGGUGUGUCGUGUUUAGCUUGGAUACUGCUCGAUGACUGUUAUUCAUGAAGGUUUAAAUCAUCAAAUCAAUCAUAUCCGGUCAUUUUUUUUACUUCAUUUUACAACUUUUGCUUCAAAGUAAAAAAAAAAAAAAAAAAAAUCAACUUGCUCAUUUCUUUAGUUUGUGAAUUUUUUCUGGCAGAGGACUUUGAUUGUUGUCAAGAUAUGACUGAUUGUUUCAUUGGCAUGCUCCCUCUACAUUUCAAACCAUUUGCCGUGUACUAAUUACUCGUUCAUCAUGAAAUAAUCCACUCCUAUAAUACCAUCUGUAAACUUUUCUUAUGGGUUUUAUCUUUUGAGUAUGCAUGUGUCUUACAUUUUUCAAUAUCUUGGUCUCCUUUCAAUAGUUUAUUGUCAAUGUAUUGUGUCAUCAUCAAGGAGUCAUUUGUCUCUGCCUAUUUAUCUUGUUAUUGUUGAAGUCUUAAGAAUCCAUUCAUUGAUUUUUGUCAUUGUUGGAUGUUCUGGGAAUGAGCAGUAGCUCUCUUUGCUCUUGAAAGAGAAGAGUAAAUUAGCUACUGUAACUUGGAUGCCUCAUUAUUCCAUUUUAAUUGUUUUGCUUGCCUGAAGUAUGUUUGGUGGUGUUCCCUUUGGUAGAUGAUUAUUUUGUGAUUGGUAAAUUUGUGUUACCGUGUUAAGUUGUGGUUUUAAGAUGACAUUAUUAAAUACUAAUCCUUAUCUUUUCUUUGUUUUGUUGCAUGGUACCGUCUGAGUCCUCUUGGACUCCCAUUCUCCUCUUAUUUGCAUUUUGAGAGAGCCGUAAAGGCUCAAAUCCUCCUUUAUCGAGUCGGUCAGCCACUAAAAUUGACGAACAGGCCCCAGAGUUGAAAAGACGUGCAAGAAAUCAAGAGUUGAAAAGAUUGGGCCGAAGGCCCACUCUUAAUGAUUUAAAUUUGUAUUUUUGUUAUUGCCCAAGCCCUUGUCUUUUAAUUAUUAAUACUCUAUCAGAAGUUUAGGACAGGUGAAGAAUGGGCCUAAGGCUCAAAGAUAAAAUAUAUUUCUUUUAUGUUAGUUUAGGACAUGUACAGGUGAUUCAAAUGGGUCCAAAACGAAAAUGGGCCCAAAUAUUGGUCCAGGCGGACAGAAACCAGAUCUGGGCCUAACUCUCUUUCUCUCUCCGUAAGACGCUUAUUUUGAUUCAAUAACUUAACUAAACCAGUCAUCUCUUAUCAAGACUUAAAGGAAUAAUUUUGCAGGAUAACUCACUUAGAUAGUAUCUAAAUAUUUCCUUUUUUCCCCUUUAAAAUAAGUUUUAACUAUAAAAUAGUUUAAUUUCGCAAAUCAAGCUAAGUUAAAAUUAUUUAGCCAAGUAAUUAAUUGUCGGAUAAUCGCGCAUUUCGGGUGCUUUCAAACCCUUCCCGAAAUGCUAAUAAGAACCCCGAACCCCCCUUAAGUAUUUUCAAUUGAUUCCCUGCUUUAAUCUAUUGAAAAUUAGUUUUUCUUGAUUUUUCUUUAAAAAUUAAGUGGCGACUCUUAAACCAGUCCCAUUACAUUUUCCUAAUAAAACACUGAUAGUAAUGGAUUACAACUUGAUGAGAGAACAUUUGAAGCAAUGUUUCAGAACUUCACAAAUCUGGAGAUACUUUCUCUCUCUUAUGUCAACAUCUUAUCUCCGAUACCUGUGAAUAUUUCUUCUUCCUUAAGGUAUGUGGAUCUUGCACAUACUAAUCUGCGAGGUGUUCUCACAGAGAGCUUUUUCCUUAUGCCAAACUUGGAAAGACUCCAAUUGAGAGGGAAUGAUCUUGUCAAAGGAGUUUUUCCAAAGAUCCACCGGAGCAACACUCUGUUAAUGGAGUUGGAUAUUUCAUCCACAAGCAUCUCUGGUGAGCUGCCUGAUUCAAUUAGCGCCUUCAGUUCCUUGAAUAUAUUGUACCUCGAAGGAUGUCAAUUCUCUGGUUCCAUUCCCGAUUCCAUAGGCAACCUAACCAGAAUUACGGAGUUGGCUUUGUCUUAUAAUCAUUUGGGAUAAUACAUAUAUUUGACCUUAAACUUGGCUUCAAAUUUUAACUUUGACCUCCAACUUUCAUAGUGCACAAACAAGCACUUUAACUAUCCAAUCUUUUAAUAAAUAAACACGUGAUUUUUGGAGCCAAGAGCGUGAAAUGCAAACGCUGCCACGUGUAUUAGCGAGCCACUCAAUGGCUGCCAACUAAUUAAACACUUUACACGUCCAUUUUAGAACUAAAAAAAAAAAUAAUUAAUUAAGGGUAGAGUUGUCAUUUCAGCAUUUUUUUCAUUGUUGUGUGCCUCAAAAAUUACUUCUCACUCGCGCAAAAUGCGUGCACAUCACGCGUUUUGCCAGGUAAGACACGCGUGUUUAUUUAUUAAAAGGUUGGAUAGUUAAAGUGUCUAUUUGUGCACUUUGAAAGUUGGAGGUCAAAGUUAAAAUUUGAAGCCAAGUUUAAGGUCNNNNNNNNNNNNNNNNNNNNNNNNNNNNNNGUCCAACUCCUUUUCAGGUGAAAUUCCUGAUGUUUUCUCUAACCUCCAAGAGUUACGUACGUUACUACUUUCUUAUAACAACUUCAUUGGUUUGUUUCCCGCUUCACUUUUAAGUUUGACACAUCUUGAAUACUUAGGAUUUACGAGUAAUUCCCUAUCUGGCCCACUGCCUAAUAAUGUGAGCAUGCUUCAAAAGCUAACCAAACUGAAUUUGUCCUACAACUCAAUGAAUGGUACCAUACCAUCUUCUGUGUUUAGCCUCCCUUUGCUAGGUCAGUUGUGGCUCGAUAACAAUAGAUUUAGUGGAUUACCCGAUGAGCUCAAAACAAACCCAACAUUAGCACGCCUGGAUUUAAGCCAUAAUCAACUCAGUGGUUCUUUUCUUCAAUCACUUUCGAAUCUCACAAACCUUUCUAUCCUUGACCUUUCAUCGAAUAACAUCACCGUCGAUGAGGGAAUACAAAUCACUUUUCCUAGCCUACAAGAUUUGUGGUUAUCAUCUUGUGAACUGAAGGAUUUUCCAGUCAACUAAAGGAUUUUCCACACUUCUUGAGAAAUGUAAAGACACUUGUGUACUUGGAUAUUUCUAACAAUAAGAUUUGUGGUCAAAUCCCUAACUGGUUUAGCGGCAUGACGUGGGACUCGUUGCAGUUCCUAAACCUUUCUCAUAAUUCAUUAACAGGCCACCUACCACAAUUUCGUUACUAUAACCUACAGUAUCUUGAUCUGAAAUUUAACUUCCUUCAGGGGUCACUACCUUUAUCUAUUGGUAACAUGAGAAAACUUAUCUUAUUAGAUUUAUCACACAACUACUUCAGUGACUCAGUUCCACAUUGCUUGGGAAGCAUGGCUUCACUAGCGGUGCUGGACUUAAGAAAGAACAAUUUCACAGGGAGUCUUCCCCCAUUAUGUGGACACAACACUUCAUUGAGUACCAUUGUCGUAAAUGGUAAUCGAUUUGAAGGACCUGUUCCUGUAUCGUUGCUCAAUUGUAAUGGUCUACAAGUCCUUGAUGUGGGGAACAAUGCUAUAAAUGACACGUGUCCAGCUUGGCUCGGAAGUCUUCAAGCUCUGCAAGUCCUUAUAUUAGAGUUGAACAAGUUCCAUGGACCUAUAAGUACGUGUCAGACUAAGUUUUGCUUUCCCAAUUUGCGAAUUUUUGAUCUUUCUCGUAAUGAUUUCAGUGGCUCACUUCCUGCAAAAGUUUUUGGAAACUUCAAGGCAAUGAUCAAAUUAGAUGACGAAGACACAAGAGAGAUCAGGUACAUGGAAUCUAUGUUGAAUUUGUCAUUUGUCAGAUCGUAUGAGGAUUCAGUGAGUUUGGUAAUCAAAGGGAAAGAUAUUGAGCUACAAAGAAUCAGCACAAUUACGACAACCAUAGAUCUCUCAAGCAACCAUUUUGAAGGUGUCAUUCUGAAAACGUUAUAGGAUCUCAGCUCACUUUGGCUACUCAAUUUAUCCUAUAACAAUCUCAUAGGUCAUAUUCCAAUGGAAUUGGGGCAAUUGAAUACACUUGAGGCUUUAGAUCUCUCCUGGAAUCGGCUCAUUGGAAAGAUUCCGCAUGAAUUGACAAGAAUGAACUUUCUGGCCUUCUUAAACCUCUCUCAAAAUCAUCUUGUCAGACCAAUUCCUCACGGUCUACAGUUCAACACAUUUGAAAAUGACUCUUAUGGCGGCAACCUUGAUUUUAUGUGGUCCUCCUUUAUCAAAACAAUGUGGAACGAGUGAUUCAUCACAUGUUCCUCAACCAUUGGAGUCCGAAGAUGAAGGCGAGUCAUAUUUUUUUUAGUGGAUUUACGUGGGAAUCAGUAAUCAUAGGCUACAGUUUUGGACUAGUUGUUGGAACUGUCAUGUGGAGUCUCAUGUUUAAAUACCGUAAGCCAAAAUGGUUUGUGGAAUUUUUUGAUGAACUCAUGCCUCACAAAAGAAGAAGGCCAAAGAAGAGAACUCAGAGACGGAGGACUUAACGGAAGAUUGAGAGGGUUAAAUUGUCUUUGUUUGAUUUUGUGGACUAAUUAGUGAACUGUUCUGUGUUUUACUUUUUACUUUUUUAAUUUUCUAUUUGUUGUUUGUAUAUGUUAGAAACAUAAUAUUAUGUGUGUUAUUUUUGUAUCAAUGGUUAUUCAAGUUAUGUUAGUUUGUUUCUGUUUCAAAUUGACAGAAGUGAUCUACACAGCCACUCAUUAGCUAUGUUACUUAGAUUUUUCAAAAAUGUCAACGGGUACGUGUUGGAUUCUUCAAAAGUUGUGUAUUUUUUAAGGAACCAACAUGGGUGCGAUAUCAUCAUAUUUUAGGAGAGUCCGAGCAACAUAGCUCAUUAAUACAACAAAAUUUGAAAAAACAGUGCAGUAAGCAUAUAGAGUUUGGUUCAUGAUUGAAAUUAGUUGAUAUUAGAAAGUUUAUAUUUGUGAAAAUUUAUGUUGAAGAACACUCAAAACUACAGAAGUGGCUAAUAAUUUUAUGGUACUUCAGCUUUCUAGUCAUAGAACAUCCUUAAAAUGUUCUCUAACUCAGUUUCAACUUCCGCGAUUUUGAUUUUGGUACAUUUUUACAUAUAUUUAUACUUCAUGACGAAAGUUAUGCCUCACGCCAUCCAACAACCAAUUCAUACUGCUUGAUUAUGAAUGAGGGAAUUUUUUUUUUAUUGGGAAAAAUGCUCACUGGAAAGAUUUCAAGGGAACUGACAAGACUACAAUUCCUGGCAGUCUAAAAACUCUCUCUGAAUGUCCUUAUCAGACCGAUUGCAUGUUCCUCGUCCAUUGGAGUCCGAAGAAGAAGAAGAAGAGUCGUAUUUUGCUAGUGGAUUUACGUGGCAAUCAGUGGCCAUAGUUGUUGUAACUGUCAUGUGGAGCCUCAUGUUUAAAAUGGUUUGUAUAAUUUUUUGAAGGCAUCUUCCGCACAAAAAUAGAAGGCGAAAGAAGAGAGCUUUGCGAUGACGGAUUUAAUUAAUGGAAUAUUGGAAGAGCCAACUUGUCAAGUAAUAUCCAUUGUUAGAAUAAUCUCAUGAAUAUUAUUCUUUGAAUUUUAGUUGUUUACUUGGUCUGAAUUUUCUCUUUGUAAUUUUAAUCUGUUAGAUUACUCUGGAUUAUUUUUAGCAUUUGCUUCGACUACUGAAUUGAAGUCAUAUAUUAGCUUAGGUACAACUGAACAAUAACAUUAAAGUCAAAUAUAUUCUUAAUAACAAGCUAAAAGAAAGACAUAUCUGCAUUUGAAGUUCGAUUUUUUGUGUUUAAGCAAUUGCUGUAGCAGUGGACUGUUAUGUUAGAUGAGUAAGACGGGCAGAUGUUAAAUUCCGACAUGUUCAUUCACUUCGAUUUUAAGGCCUGGUCAUCCUUGUAAUGAAAAUUGAAUAUGAAUGCUCAAGUGCCUGGACCUCGAGCAGGUGGUAACUUCUUGAUAAUUAACUUGUUUCUUCCAUGAUUUUAAACAUCAAAUUAAAGAAUGAGUUGAUUAGAUCAUCUCUACAUCUAUAAAAGCAAACACAGAAAACUGUGAUCCUUCAAUACAAUUAAUCUCUCAGUUUUCUUUGCUUGUGCAUCAUUUUUUUAUUUGAUCAUUACACCUUUAUCUUGAAUCAAGAGUAUAUGGAAACAACACAAGAGACAACAAAUCGGAAAUUUCUCUGCAGGUGGAAUGAUCUUCACCAAGUUAUUCAAAACAUACUAACUAAGAAGAAAAACACAUAUCAAACAAAAUUUUGAAAAUAAAAGAACAAAAAUAAAAUUCCACACGGAGGAAAUGAAGGACUUAAAUCAUGUCUUUAAUUAUUCUUCAUUUUUUUCCUCACUUGACUUAGUCAAGCAAUAGUUUUUGUCAUUGGAAAUUUCUUAGAAGUUCUGCAGAAAAUUAUUCUACAUAAGACUAAUUUCACAUCAUCAUUUUGCAUAACACACACUGCAGAGAUAGUUAAUGACCUCAAAAUGAACUUUGUGAUUCAAUUUUUCUGAACUUUUUCUUUCUUCAACUUUGUGAUUCAAUUGUUCAUCAAUUCCGAUUUAUCACAAUCUUUUUCCCCUUCUAGUCUUUGAGGAAAUUGGCUUAAAGGCUGAUUCAAUUUUCUGAACUUUUCUUCUUCGAACUUUGUGAUUCAAUUGUUCAUCAAUUCCGAUUUAUCACAAUCUUUUUCCCCUUCUAGUCUUUGAGGAAAUUGGCUUAAAGGCUACUUACAUUACCCUAUCCUUUUUUUUUUGGGUUUCCCACCCGGUGUCCGGAGCCCACAUUGAAGUUACGACUAAAUCCAAAUCGCACUCUGUAGGUCCCAUUUGAGGGUGGCGCUCCCAACAAAAUUUUCUCCAUACCCAGGGCUCGAACCCGAGACCUCUGGUUAAGGGUGAAGCACUCCCACCAGUGCACCACAACCCAUGUUGGUACCGUAUUCCUUAUUUCCUUAGGUGGAAUGGAAUAUUGAUGGAUUUUCCCUCAUUAGCUUAAUGUGAUCGAAAACUAUUGUGUACCUAACAAGUUUGAAAAUAGCAGAAGAGACAACUAAUCACUAACUCGGAAUAUUGUAUAAAUUAAAUUCCAUAAAAGUUUAUUUCAUUCUUACAAUUGCUUUCUCUAUCCCGAACGUACCCUAACUGUUCUCAUAAUUGGUUCAAUGACGCGUCUUGACCUUUUAUGAUUAUAUAGAUUUCGUGAAAAAAUUACACUAAAAUUUAUUGCAUUCAUACAACUUGGUUUUGUUUGAUUAAAGUGUCCCUUCUUGUCAUAGGGAAGAUGAAAUAGAGUAACAUCAUGUCUUUAAUGCUCAUUUAUUAUUUUAUCCUCAAUUGACUUAGUCAUACAAUAGUUCCCUUUGAAAAGUAUUGUGGAAAACAGAAGAAGAGAUGUUGAUGGAAAGUUAGACAAGAAUGACUUAAAAUAGGAGUUCAAAUUUCUACCUAUCCAUCUAAGUUAGACAAGAAUGACUUAAAAUAGGAGUUCAAAUUUCUACCUAUCCAUCUAAGUUAGACAAGAAUGACUUAAAAUAGGAGUUCAAAUUUCUACCUAUCCAUCUAAGUUAGACAAGAAUGACUUAAAAUAGGAGUUCAAAUUUCUACCUAUCCAUCUAAGUUAGACAAGAAUGACUUAAAAUAGGAGUUCAAAUUUCUACCUAUCCAUCUAAGUUAGACAAGAAUGACUUAAAAUAGGAGUUCAAAUUUCUACCUAUCCAUCUAAGUUAGACAAGAAUGACUUAAAAUAGGAGUUCAAAUUUCUACCUAUCCAUCUAAGUUAGACAAGAAUGACUUAAAAUAGGAGUUCAAAUUUCUACCUAUCCAUCUAAGUUAGACAAGAAUGACUUAAAAUAGGAGUUCAAAUUUCUACCUAUCCAUCUAUACUAAUGUUAAAUUGCUAUAAUAUUUUCAACUGAAAACACUCAAUUUAGUAUAUUUUCUAUAUGGUUUGUGGAACUUUUUGAAGGCAUUUUUCCCAAGAAAAUGAGAAGACCAAAGAAGAGAGCUCAGAAACGACGGACUUAAUGGAAGAUUGCAACAGUGAACUUUUCUGCUUUUUCUCUUUUUAAUUUUUUGUUUGUUGUUUGUAUAUACUUGUUAGCAAUAUAAUUUUAUGUGUUAUUUUCGAAUCCGAAACACUUGGUUCAAUUUUACUUGGAACCAUACAUUUAGCAUAACUAUAUGUCCUAUUGCAUUAUAGUUAUUAUACAAAGUGGAAAAGUUCCACUACACCAUAAGAGACCUUUAGCGGCAAUAGAUUUUCCUUUUAGCGGCAAUAUUUAUUGCCACAAAUGCAUUUACCGGCAUUUGAUUAAAUGCCAUUGGAACCAAUGUCACUAAAGCCUUUAGUGGCAUUUAUGUCGAGUGCCGGUAAAGACCCUUGUUAUUGCCGCUAAAAGUAAUUACUUUUAGCGGCAUCUAUUUAGCGGCCUUUACUAUUGCCAUUAAAACUACCUAGGAACAAGCACAUUUGUGGCUUUUGCUAUUGCCGGCAAAGAUAAUAAUUGUCACUCCAUUAGUGUAAUGACUUAAAAUUGAUCAUGAAUUCACCUAAAUCCACAUAUUUAACCCUCUUUUAUAACAUCAAAAAUAAAAUGCACAAAAGAGAUAAGUUUGAAGGUAGUAAAGAAGAAAUACCAAACUCAAAACAAUGUCAUUCAUUUAAAAUAAGAACAAACAAUCUUAAUACAUUCACAAUAGAAAGUAUGAAUCAUCACAAUAGAAAAAAUGUGUUCAACAAUGAAGAAAACAAGGCAAUUAAGCCACUAUUUUUUUCCCUAAUGCAAAAUGUGUCAGCUUUCUGGAUCAAUGCCAUUCCUUGAACAAGCUCACCAUUUGAAUGAAUAUCUCGCUAUACACAUAUAGCAGCAGAUGGUUAGAUUACAAGAAAUGAGUAAUCAAUGUCAAGAGAAGCACCAAGUUUUGAAUAUGCAAGAACAAGAACAUAAUGUACAACAUAACUCACUUGAAAAGAUUAACGAUUGUCUUUGAUCAAGAACAUCACACUAAUGGUAAAACAUAUUCCAGUGAAACAUAACCAGAGAAUAUAUGAACAAAUCAAAUCACCUCUAAGCAAAAUUAGCCUUGCAACAAUAAUACAGAAAGAACAUGAUAUCAUUUAUGUGUUCUUCCAUAAUAGAACAUACGCAGCACCCACUCCCACUACCUAAAACAAAGUAAAAUAAGAUACAAAAAUGAAGAGGAAGAGACUAGGACUUGAUAUCAUUUGUGUUCUUUCAUAAUAGAAGCACAACCAUAUAUGAACUAGAAGAGAGGAUUUACCAAAAGAAUAGAUAGUUGAUACGCACGAUUAUGUAUGGUAAAAAAUAUUACCCUGUGAGAAGAAAGAACUUGUUGACACUUGACGACUUGAGCAGUGCUUAUAUUGCUUGUUCAUUGCCACUAUUGGCAUCAGAAACCUAGUAAAAUCAACACACUAGAUGAAAAAAUUAUCUUGUACAGCUAAAAUUUAUGAAAGGAAGUUUUAAAACUUUGAAAUCGGAUAACCUGUCUAGUAGUACUUCCAUUGUUUUGAGGCCUGCUUAAUUCAGUAGGAGCAUAUUUCCACAUGACUUUUCUCAUCCAUGAUAAUUCUGAAACUAGCAUCUCUUGAUUUUUUCUCAUCAAAACCAUUUCUUCAUCCUGCUUUUUGUUCAACUCAUUUAUCUCUUGCUCUAACUUUUUUGCAGCCUCGUUACACAAACCAUCAACAGAAACAUUUCGUAAGAAUGAUUUACUGCCCCAUAACAGAGAAGGGGUUGGACCAAGUCCUAAACCACGGACAUAACCACUUUUUUCUUUUCCCAACACUUGUGAAUGCGCAUCGCCUUCCCAAGCAACACUGUCAUGAGAUUGUUCCUCAAGUAUCUCAUCAUUACUCAACUUCUCUUUCAUCAUGUCCUGGUAAUAAUUAUGAUUAUUUUUUUAAACUGGCUGAUAAUAAUUAAGAUUAUGAUUUUUAAUAAUGUGAAAAAAGUACAAAAUCAGUGCAAUGAAACUAAGAAGCUUCAACAGAUUAGUUGCAGUUCACCAAUUCCUCAUAUUUUAACCUUAUAAUCAUUUUUUUUCCAAAUCAAUUUCCAAGUUAGAAUUUUCACAAUUGAAAGGUAAAAGUGUAUAAGAGAUCUUACAGCGGCAUUUGAAGACUCCUCAUCCAAUGGUCUACCAUCUCUACGCUCUAUGUGAGUUAAUAUGUAGAUUUUUGCACGUGUGGGCUCUAUUCCAUCUAUAGCCUAUGAAUUUAAAUUGAUGCAAAAUAAAUAAGGCAUGACCGAAAUGAAUUGUAAAAUCUUAUAGUAAGUAAUUUAUGCAUUAAUACCUGUUCAUUCAUCAAGGUUGCUAUGCUUUUGGAUCCACCCGUGUGAGGCAUUUUUUGGUUAGCUCUACUGAUUCUAUUUGUUUGACUACGCUUCUAGAAUGAGAAAAUAAAACAUCAACUCUUGCUAGUAUAACAGAGUACUUAAGUUCUUUGAAAGAACAAGUGGAAGAACUAUGAAGAAUCUACAUAUUUUAGAACAAACAGUCAAGAUAUAGGAAGCGCUAACCUUUGCUUUUUCAGAAAGCCAAUACGAGACGAGACCAUUCCAUUGAUCUCUUGGUAUGUGAGCUGGUUUAUUUUUCAUCAAGGCAUCUUUGGUCUUAUAUUUGGUCACAUACAUAGCCUUCAAGUCGCAUUUCUAGCAAUGAUGCCUAGAAAGCUAGCCAGCUUUCGUCCCUCUUUUCCAAUUGAUUGAUUACGACUAUUAAACGGCACAACAAUUGUCUUCCCCGGCGGUAGAUUCCAAACAUCUUUUAACAAAGUAGGUCCACGAGCUUUACUUGUCUUUGAAGGACCUGAAAUAAAUUCAGAAACAAAGAAAGAAUAAGUACAGUGCAACAAUCAAGCUAAACAGCGCAAGAACUCUAAUAAUGAAACCAAGUUUAUUUAACUGUCAAUUGAAAAUUUUCAAAUGGAGGGACUGUUUUCUUGUUCCACCUUAACCAGCCGUCCAAACUGAGAAGAAGAGGACAACACAGCAUAUCAAAAGGAUAUAACCAGCAGAAAAACUAAGAAUAAAAAAGAAACAACAAUGCCAACACUUCAGAGAGAGAAAACAAAACAGACAUCAAUACUACAACAAUCAAGCAAACCAGAGAGAAUACAUACUCUCAUAAGUUUGCAAAAUGCAACUAGUACUACAUACAUUAUCACGUAUUUAGAUCUUAUUAUGCAGAUAAUCUAUAAAUUCAAGUUUUAAGAAAUAACCUGGCUCAUUAUUCAGCUCAACAACAGUGUCAAUAGAAUUGUUAUCCUCAGAUGUUUGGACUGGCUAGCAGCUCUGAGUUUUCAUUAAUUGGUGAAUGUAGGGUCGUACUUCUUCAUCAUGACAUUGUUCAGCUACCAAUCUGCUACCAACUCUAUUUCGCAUUUUCGUUCUUCAAAAUCAACUCCUUAUCUAUUUUCUUCAAACGUGCAGGUGAACAUACUAAUAUGUGAAAACUUGCAAACAAACUAUUAAAGAAAACAACUAUGGAACCACACCUCCAAGUGGCUGUUGUUAGUUUUAUUGUGAAAUCUUAAAUCAUGUUCUAAGCUAUACAAAAUUUUAACUCAUUUUCUCGAGCUAAAUACAGAAGAAAACAAAAUCUAAUUAAUAUAUACAGGUUUUUUAAGCUAUGUUCGUCAAAGCUAUAUUAUGGUAAUCAAAUCAAACUCAAGUUUUGAAAAAGCAAAAUCUAAAAGGAGUCAAAUUAACGAAAGUAGAGCGUAGUACAAUGCACAGAGUACAACUCUCUGGAAACUACACAUACUAAUCCUUAUAUAUCAUGAUUUUACAGUCAUACACAAAAAAAUCAUAUUAGUAAAAGCAUGGUUUGAAAAAGAAAACCAUAAAAUAGACAAUGAUUGCAUUAAGCACGGUACAAAUUGCUGCAUUAGAUACCAAGCAAACUGAAUAGAGCAAAGGCAAAUACAGAGCAAAAUUCUUUACAGAUCGAGCUUAUCACAACAUGCCAUGCACAAAGUACAACUCUAUCGCAGCAAACCACAACUUCACUGCAAGAGUGCAAUUCUCAUAUAUGGCAAUUUCAUCGCUCAUACACAAAACAUUCAUCAUCAUCCAAAUAUUCAAAACAAAAAAACAGAAUGCGGCGUACCUUGAGGAAGUGGCAAAGGGUUGCGAAAAUUGAUGGCGGAUGAAGAAGACGGAGAUGCAAACGACGAAAUCGAAGACGAAGAAGAUGAAGCUUCAGAGAAAUUGAUGGUGCUUCAUAUCAAUUUUGUGAAUCUCAAAUUGCCGCUUCAGAUGAAGACGUCGAAAGAGAGAUCGAGCCCUUUUGGAAUUUGGGGAUUUUGGGAAUGAAAUGGGUUUAGGCGUUUAGGAAUAGCCUGUAUAGAAUGAAAUGGGUUUAGGCCUUUUGGAAUAGCCUGUAUAGAAUGUUGGGGUAUUUUAGAAUAAAAAGUAUUUUUUUAAUGAAAUGGUGUAUUAGAUAUUUAAGUAAUUGUCAUUAAUGGGUCAACUUAUACCGACUAAAGGUCAAUUGCCGGUAAUAAUGGAUUGUAAAACAUAAUUUAGCGGCAUUUAUAUUAUUGCCAUUAAAUAAUUGCCGCUAAAACUGAUUUUUGUGGUAGUGUUCAAGGGAUAAUAACUGAAAAUCUGACUCAACUUUAGGGGUAUAUUUAGGGCGGUUCAAAAUGGAACCACAACCGAUAAGCCAAUCGCAAAAUUUUAUAGUUACGGUGCGGGGGCGGAUUACGCAAGUCUUAUAUGCGGCCUCUGCAGAAGUCAAUAGGACAACGAAAUACAAAGCUUUGCUUUCUACUAUUGACAUCGACAUAUUAUGAGUUGCUUGAACCUUACAUGGACACUCUAUUUGAAUUGACCACUGAGGGAUCAGACAAAGAUGAGAAUGUUAUCGCUCUUCAAGCAAUUGAGCUUUGGAGUAAAGUCCCUAAACUAGAUGGUCUGCAAUGCUGCGAAAGGAAUAGUAGUUUUCGAUGGAUAAAUCACUUGCAGCUUGGUCUUAAAACACAAAUGUUCUCACCGGAAGAAGACAAGUUGAUUGUUACUCUGUGUCAUUUUUGAACAGAGACGGGCUCAAAUUGCAACACAAUUAACAGAAACAUCACAAGAUCGUCUGGUGAGUUUCUUUUUACCUGCUCCGACAGUACCAAUACAUAAUUUUGGCCUCUUAGUAGAUGGGUAUGUUAUGUUGGAGUCAAGAUGCACUACUAGUGGAAUAGUAGGUGUUGUAAUGCGUGGAAAAAUAACAUAUUUCUUUGGAGAGAGAGAUGCACUGUGCUUCUCUGAAUCAUUUUGUCAUGUGGGGUGGCUUGCAAUUAUUUUUGGCAGGAGUGUUUCAUGGUUUGACAUUGGGAGUGUGUUGAUGGGUUAUGGAAUUUGGGUUAUUUCGCUCAUGGUAUCGACAUAUAUAACUGAAAUAACACCUAAGCAUCUCCAAGACUCAUUCACCAUUAUCAAUCAACUAACAAUAUGUUGCAGGAGAUCACUUAUAAUACAGCUUUUCGGCCUAUUUUUGAUACAAGAUUCUCCUAGAUGGCUGACCAAGGCUACCCACUGGAAAGCAUACACAACUUCUCUUCCGCACUUUAAGAGGAACACUGUCAGUAUAUCAUCAACAACUACUUCAGUAGAGGAAUUCAUUUCAAUCCUUCAAAUACUCUCCAAGGUUAAGAUGCUUGAUUUUCUCAAAAGGAAGGAUGCUUGUUCUCUGGUAUUUGGAGUUGGAUUAGUGGUAUCGCAUCAAAUUGGAUAAGUUAAAGCUGCUGCAUAUUGUGCAAUUAUAUUUGUACUUGCACCAGAAAAGUACAUAUCAUUCUUGCCCAUUAUUGAAGGCUAUGUGAACAACAUUACAGGCACUAGUGUAGUUAGCGCAUACAGGACUACGUACUGAUUUCUUCUUGAUAUCCAUUUGGACCUGCCAACCAGUGGCCUUUGUACUUGUGGAAGUUUCAGUAGCUACAUCUAGCUUAUCACUGUCUUUUGUUGUGGGAUUUCUUUAAUCAAACCUUGUGGACAAGGUUCUUAUUGAGGACGAGAGUGUAACAUCUCGCACCUAGAAACGACUAUAAAGAGUUUAAAAUAUGAAAACUUUGAUUUUUGGAAGGAAUGAGGAAAUCUGGGAAUUUUGUGUAAGUUAAGAAAGUGAGUUUUGGCCAUUUUCAAACGGUCAUAAUUCCUAGCUCAUGAUGAGUUAGGAGCAGCUCUGAAUAUGGUUGGAAAUCCCUUGGAGAGAUCUUUCCAACGCCGCCAAUUUUGCGCUAUUUCGACAUCAUAUGAGUGAGAUAUGCCUUUCGGAAGUUGGGCUGUUGGAUUAAGGAAAGUUCCAAUCCGGAUUUAAGAAAGGGCAAACUAGUCUUUUCUCUAAUUAAUUUCCUAAUUCGUUUUUAGGGAUUUAUUUGGGGUAAAAACAGAACUUAAUUCAAUUUUGGAAAAUUAGAAUACGCUUAGGGCUUGGAGAAAGAGAAAGGAAGAAAGAAAGAGAGAAAAGCCAAGAUUUCGCCAAGAACGUCAAGCGUUUGGAGUGGAAUUCGUCGAGGGUAAUCCCUAUUAAGGUAUGUGAGAUCUUUUAGUGAUGGGUUAGUUCACCCACACACCAACUUGUUUCAAUUCAGCGAUUUUGGGUUGUUCACAUGUUAAAAAGUGAAGUUAUUGAAGGGCAUCGUUAAGUUCUUGAUUGGUUGUGUUGUUGAAGUUUCUUGUUGAUUUGAUUCGUGUUUCCAGUUGAAUUUUCGAGUUAAAUCUGUUGUAUGUUGAGGGUGCUAUUGAUCCUAAGAGUUUGGGGAAGGAACCAUUGAAGUUUAGAGGGUUUAGAGAUGAAAAACGAAGGAGAGAAAUCGGGGAUUUUCUGGGCAAAGGCUUGGGCGCCGCGCCUGCUAGAGCGCCACAAAAGUUCCUCUGAACUUUGGCCUCUAGCGCGUCGUGCCAGCCAGAGUGCCACAGGCAGCCCACUGAAGUUUGAGGGCUGGCGCCCCCGUGCCUCUCAGAGCGCCAGGGACGCCAGUUCUCCCCAUUCGUUCCCAACCAUCUCGUACUUGUUCCUAAGUGAUGUACCUAUGUUUCCUAGUCGAUUCCAACACUCUAAAGUACAUCUAAACAUCAUGAAAUCAUCCAUAAACAUGAUAUCAUGAACCUUGAAUCCAUAAUUCAAUUCAAGGAAAGUUAAGUUCAGAGUCAAGUCUAGAAGUUAAGAAGCAAGUCAAAACAAAGUUUCUUAAAGUUUUCAAGGGUCUUUAACAAUGUUUUAACGUCGUUUUAAGACUUAAGUUUUGAAGUUAAGCAAGAGUAAAGAUAUGGUUUGAAGUUCUAUUCUUCAAAGAGGUAUAUGGGGACUAUGUAUUCCCAAAUAACCCACAACCCCCAUAGAACCAUGUAGCCAUCAUAGGUAGAAGAGGUUCAUACUUUUUAGAUGAAUCCUUUUCCAAUUAGACUAGUGGAUCCAUUAGGCAGUUCAGGUUCUAUACCUUUGGCUAGGUAUAGGAUGCUCUGGCAGCGUGAGGUUGAUCGUUGUAUCAUCACUAUAGCUCUUAUGUGAUGGUUGUCGGUUAGAGAAACUCCCACAUCAGUUAUUGUACUUUUAUAUACAUCAGUUUAUUUGUAUUUCUACAUAUAUCCCAGAUUUAUUGUAUCUUUGCAUACACACAGAGUUUAUAGUAUGUUUUUAAACAACUUUUCUUUAUAUUGCACUUUGUUGUAAAUUGUUUUAUAUUGAAAUGAGUCAGUCAGGUUGAGUUGAGUUGAUCCAGGUAAGUUAUUCAGUUUCUUUCAGAUUUCCUUCUAGCAUAUGUUGCUUAACAUUCCAACUCGCAUACUCGUACAUUCAAUGUACUGAUGCCAGUUGGCCUGCAUCGUCUUAUGAUGCAGAUUCAGGUAACCAGGAUCAGCAUCCAGCGCCUCGUUGAUCUAGUUGAGUAGCUCAGAGUCAGUGGUGAGCCUUCUUGCAUUUAGGAGGACUCUUUUAUUCGCUUUCAGUCUUUCAUUUAUUAGGAUGUUGUAGGGUUUGUCCCAACAUCCAUCUCAGUAUUUUAGAGGCUUCAUAGACAGUCAGAUAGUUAUUAGUGCAUAUGUUUUUCUUUAUCUUUCAAAUGUUGUUUAAUGACUUAAGUGCCAUUUUGGCCAGUUUAUUAUCAUUUAAGUUGUUUUAUAAUCUUAUACUGUGUUGAGUUAAGUAGCCAGGCCAAGGGCUCGCUUGGGGCCAGCAAUGGUCUCCGAGUGCCGGCCACGUCCAGGGUGUAGACUCGGGGCGUGACAGAGAAUAUUGUUAUGAACGAAGUUCAGCCCAAUGAGGAUACCAACGUCAUACAAGUAGUUAUUGGUCUGACAAGAGCUAUUGGGCCGAGAACAAGCAAUAGGGCUAGGUUAAUUUAGGAUCCGGAUUGAGUAGUGGGCAUGGAAACGACUCCAUCAAAAAGGGUAGUGCAAUGUGAUUUAGGAAUUAUGCAUAUUGGAGAAAAUGUUUGUCCUCUCCUCUUCUUCUAGAGUCUAAGCUUCUCAUCUCCAUUUUUCUCUCUAUCUUUAAUUCUCGUUAUUUCAAUAUUUCCAUUGUAAUUCGGUAGUUUGAAUAUUGCAAUUAGAAUCUUAAGGUUGUACUAGUGUUCCAGUGCUCUUAUUAAUAUAGUGAGGAUUUGGGUUCGUUACACAUGUUCCUCAACCAUUAGAGUACGAAGAAGAUGAAGAUGAGUCAUAUUCCUUAAAUGGAUUUACGUGGGAAUCUGUAGUCUUAGGCUACAGUUUUGGACUAGUUGUUGGAACUGUCAUUUGGAGUCUCAUGUUUAAAUACCGUAAACCAAAAUGGGUUGUGGAACUUUUUGAUGCCAACGUGCCUCGCGAAAAUAGAAGGCCAAAGAAGAGAGCUCAGAGACAAAAAACUGACUUCAUGGAAGAUUGAUGGGGCCAACUUGUCAAGUAAUAUACUUUAUAAUAAUUACUCUAAUAAGUAAUGUUGGAAUAAUCCCAUGAAUUUUGUUCUUUUACUUUGUCUGAAGUUUCUCUUUGUUAUUUGCAUCUGUUAGAUACCUCUGAAUUAUAUUUAGCAUUUGCUUCGACUACUGAAUUGAAGUUAGCUUAGGUACAAAUAAGCAUAUAUGGGGAAAAACAUAUUCUUCUGAAUUUUGCCUACAUAGAGACAAAACAGAUGAUAUUUUCUCAAGGUACACACAACCGUCCCAGACCCCACUUAUGGGAUUACACCCACUAUGUUGUUGUUAUUACACUGUUUCACUUGCAAAACACUUUUGUUAAGAUGUAUGUUCAACGCCUAAGGACAUCACAUCAUUCAGAGACAAAUUAGACCUAAAGAAUAAGGCGCAAACCAGUCGUUACAAACAACUAGUCUAGGAGGUCUUACUGUUGUAAAAUUUGUGGUGUGUUUGGUAAGUAAAAUUACACCUACUGUCGCGUUUAUUAGGACCCGAGUAAAUUUUUUUUUGUGGAAAACAGCACAAGAGACAACGCAACUAAUUAUGCAGGAUCAUAUCAAACAAAAAUAAAAUUCCACACGGUAUUAUUGUUUUGUUGUUACAUACUAUAAGUAGAUGGAGGACUUAAAUCAUGUCUUCAAUUAUUGUUCAUUUUUUCCUCACUUGACUUAGUCAAGCAAUAGCUUCUGUCAUUGGAAAUUUCUUACAAGUUCUGCAGAAUUUUUUUCCACAUAAAGAUGGGACCAAUUUUCACAUGCAUCAACUUGCGUAACACACACGGUAGUGACAGUUAAUGACCUCGAAAUGAACACAACAUCUAGAGAAAAUUAGGACAUAGGGAGUAUUAUUUUGUUAAGUCUUCUCCGUCCUCGAACAAGUUGUUAGAAGUGACUAGUCAAGUGAUGCCAAAAUUGGACAAAACAAAUAUUGGUACUAUCAAACAAGAUUUAAAGACUUGAGUCUUUCUGGAAAUAGACUUAACACUUGGGACAAUUUUUUUGCAACCACAAAUUAGUUAGUGGUAGAUGGGGGAAAGCACCCCAUUUUAUUUGUCUGGAUGCAUGUGUUUCUUUUCUUUCGUUAAUUUAUACCUCAUACACUACACCAAAAGACCUUUAGCGGCAAUUGAUUUUUCUUUUAACAGCAAUAUUUAUUGCCACAAAUACAUUUACCGGCAUUUGAUUAAAUGUCAUUGGAUCCAAUGUCGCUAAAGCCUUUAGUGACAUUUAUGUCGAGUGCCGGUAAAGACCCUUAUUAUUGCCACUAAAAGUAAUUUCUUUUAGCGGCCUUUACUAUUGCUAUUAAAGCCGAAACAAGCAUAUUUGUCACUUUUGCUAUUGCCGGCAAAGAUAAUAAUUGUAACUCAAUUAUUGUAACGACUUAAAACUAAUCAUAAAUUCACCUUAAUUCACAUAUUUAACCCUCUUUUGCAAUUUCUAAAAGCCCAUUAAGUUUUGGCAUCUAUAUUUGGGUCAUUCACCAUGAAGUUAAGGAUUCAAAAAAUUUAUUUCCAUAUGACAUUCAUAUUUAAACGAAUUUAAAUUAUAUAUACCAACAAUAUGAAGUCUACAAUCAGUGUAAUUUAACGUGUUGUAGUUAGCAUGUUGUUUACCUUGAUUUGCAGGUUAUUAAUUUCACUUAUAAUGAAGAGUCAUCUAUAGUUACUUUUAGACAAGUUGAUAGUAAGAAAAUUUCCUUAAAGCUCUAGCAUACAACUUUUCGAGAAAAAAAAAUAUAACAAAUGGAGAAAAGCCUAAAAUACCUUCGAACUAUUGGAAACAAAGGUACACAUCACUCUCUUCAGACCCCACUUGUGGGAUUACACUAGGUAUGUUACAUUGUUACUCUGUUUCACUUACAAAACACUUUUGUUAAGACGUAUAUUGAAUACCUAAAGAAUAAGGCGCAAACAAGUCGUUACAAACUACUAGUCUAGCAGGUCUUACUGUUGCAAACUAUCAUAUUUUUCUUUUUUUCCCAUCAGUAGUUAUGUGGAAAUUUAUAGACAAGUUUGUAAAACAGACUAAUCAAUUACUUGGAAUGAUCUUCAACAAAUUAUUCAAAUCAUACUAAUUAACCAGGAAAACACAUAUCAAACAAAAUUUUAAAUAAAAUUCCACACGGUAUUAUCGUCUUCAAUUUCUUCCUCACUUGACUUAGUCAAGCAAUAGUUUCUAUCAUUGGAAAUUUGUCCCAAAAUUCUGCAGAAAUAUUUUCUAUAGUGAGUGUUACGUAACAGGACCUAUUCACAUCAUCUUGAGUAACACACACUGCAGAGAUAUAUGGUCGAUGACCCCGAUGUGAACAACAACAUCUAGAGAAAAUGAGGACAUAGGAAGUAUUAGGCCAAUCAGACCCUUAAAUUUGUCCUUAAAUUUCAUUUUGGCACUCCAACUCAACCUCGAUCCAUUUUAACCCUUUAACUCCAAUUCUUAUAUUACAUUUAGGCUCUUCUAAGUGAUGUGGCAGAGUGUGUGCAUCACGCUUUCUCUAAGAGAGUAAAAGACAAAAAAAGUAUUUUUUCUUUUAAAAAAUAAUAAAAGAUUAACCCUUCAACUCUAUUUUUUUAAUGUACCAUUUAAAUACAAAUACUAAUUUUAUGAUUUCUUUAUUUCUAUAUAUGCUCUUCAACUGCAAUUUUUAAUUUAAAUAAUCGGUGUUCAUCCGUUAGUUAUUGUAAGAAAUUAAAAAUUAACGGAUGAUCAUUGAUUUUUUAUAUAAAAAAAAAGGUAACAAUUUUUUUAGAGUUUAUGUGUAUUUUUGCAUGAAAAAUAACUGACAAAAGUGCAUUGAUUUUGACGGAUGAUCAUUUAACAUAUGUUUUAUUCAAAAUAUUCUUUACUAUUUAUAAUAGAAAAAAUGAUUUAAAGAUAAAACUAAUUUUAGUUAGUACAAACACUAUAUAAGAUCAAUUUUCUCAAUGCGUUUAUUAGAUAUUUUAAAUUUUGAUUUGAACUAUAUUAAAAUAGAUAUGAAUUUUCUAAAGAAGAUAAUGGAACUUCACAAUAGACUAAAAUAAAGGAGAAAUAAUAUAGUAAUUAUACAUUACAUCAUAUGAUGCCAUAGACAUAUAAAAUUAUUAAUUCAAAAUUAAACUAAACAAAAUCCCUCACUCAAAUCACAUAAAAAAGUCAUUCAUUAUUAAUUUUCACAUUGUAUAUAAGUAUUACUUCAUCAACUAAUGUUUUAAAAUGGAUUAUUUAUUUUAUUAUCUAAUCUACUUUGUAUUUUUUCUGCUGGAAAAUCAAAAUACUAUUUUGUAAUAUUUAUUUUUAAAAGAAUCUUUUAGUUGGUUACUCUUUUUUAUUUAUUUUUGGUUAAUUUAAGAUACAUAUACAAAAGAAUUUUAAAUUAUAUUUUGAAUUUUAAAAUUAUUGAAUUUUUGUUAGUAUUUUAUCAUAUAAAAAGAAAUACAAUUUGUGUAAUAUAAUUGGUAUAAUUUACUAGUGUUUACUUAAUUAGGUUUUAGAGUUUGUGUUUGAGUGGGAAUGUAAUGGGAAGUUUUAAAACUGUCUAUUUAUAUUCUCCUUUUUAUUUAAAUAUAUAAUUUAAUUAUUAUUUUUAAUUUUUAAUAUUAAAAAAGAUCAUUCAAAUAUUUAAUUUUUAAUUUUUAUCUUUAUAUAAAAGUAAAUAUUAAAAUUAAAAUUUGUGUAAUAUAAUUUGUUUUAUUUAUUAAUUUUUAAUUAAUCAGAUUUUAGAGUUUGUGUUUGAGUGAAAAUGUAAUGAGAAGUUUUAAAACUGCUUAGCUAUAUUCCCAUUUUUAUUUAAAUAAAGAAUUUUUUUUUGAAUUUUUAAUUUUAAAACAGAUCAUUCAAAGAUUAUUCAAAAAUUUAAUAUUUAAUUUUUAUCUUUAAUAAAAAUUACGAAUUUUAAAUAAUAAUAACAAAAUAAAAUUACUCAUUUUUAAAACUGACCCUUUAAAAUAAUUAAUAACUACAAUUACAUGUGUAUUUAUUUUUUUGCAAAAUACAAUUUUGUAAUAUUUAUUUUUAAAAGAAUUUUUUAGUUGGUUACUCUUUUUAUUUCUUUUUGGUGAAUUUCAAAUUGUUUUUUUUUUUAAUUUUAAAAUUGUUGAAUUUGUAUAGUGCUGACGUGUGUCACUUUCUACUUCUCCUAUUAAUCACUCUAAAUUCAAAAUUGUAAGCAAUUAAUAUAAGCAAUAUAUAUAAAAAUUGAUAUGAAGAAAAUUGUGGCGAAUAAUUUAAUAUUUAAUUUUUAGUAAUAAAAAGUAUGAUAAUAUCCUACAAUUGUUUUUUACAAAAAGAUUUGCAUUAAAAAUAUGAUAACUUCCCAAAAAAAGAAAUACAUGCUUAGUAAAAAAAAUUGCUAUUAAAAAAAGAGUUUUAAUAUUUAUAUUUAAAAAAUAUUCUAUAUAUAAUGGCUCACUAUAAAUUCACGUUAAUUUAAGUCAAAUUUUAUAUUACUUAAAUACAUAUUUACAUUUAUACUACCCUAUUUUCUAGAACUAUUUUAAGAUUAUUUCUAUUUAAUUAUAAAACUACUUUACAAUCAUUUUAAAAAUAAAAUAGUAAAUAAAUAUUUAUUCCUAUUAUAUAUUAUUAAUAAUAAGAAUUUUAGUAUUUUUUAGAACAGUGGAUUAUUUAUGUAACUGAUUUAAAGAUUGUUUUAAAAAUAAAAAUUAUUCUAAAAAUAAUUUAUAUCACCAUAUUUUUUAGAACUGUUUUAAGUAUCUCUAUUUAAUUAUAAAAACUACUUUACAAUCAUUUUAAAAAUAAAAUAGUAAAUAAUUUCUAAUUUAACUUAUUAUAAGAUAAUAUUGUUGAGAGAAUGAGAAGGCUUGGUACCUUGAUAUGUUGUAAUAUAAUAUUUAUGUAGAUAAUAAAUCAAUAUAUAAGCUUAGUUCAUUAUCUAAAUUUGAUAAUAAUAAUAAUAAUAAUAAUAAUAAUAAUAAUAAUAAUAUAAAGUGCAUUUUCUAUUACCAUUGCAAUCGGAAGAGAUAGAGUCAAAUUUUAUAAGUACGAUAGCAUUCUCAAUAAUUAAUGAUUGUGCAUUUUAUAUACUUGAAAUUCUAUAACUACGAAAAUAUAACUAAAAUACAUAGUGGGAUCGAGAAGAGAGUUCGAACCUUUAUCCUUACUUAAGAUAGCAAAAAUAUAAAAAUAAUAAUUAUCCAUUUGUGUGUAUUUAUUUCCACUAAUGCAUCUAUCAAUGUAUAAUUAUAAUAAUAAUAAUAAACAAACAAAUACCAAAAGUGAAAAAGAAAUCUAAUUCAAAUAGCACAUAAUAAAAUUCAAUGAACUGUCAAACAAAAAAUAUUUACAUGCAUAAGAAAUUAAAUUUUUAAAAAUGGCAUGUUACCUCUCGUAAUCUAGAGCGUGUCAUACUCAUACUACACAAACAAUCAAAUUUCACUGUAUCUUCAAACUUGAUAGUUCAAACUUGAAGUAGAUGGAACUGACCUGCUUUAUUUGUUAUCCAUUUGAAUCAUAACUUCAUGAAGUACGCAUUUCAUCUUUGUGCUACAAUUUGAAAAAAAAUUAAUAUUAACAUGUCAUCGAUAGAAGAACUGAAACAAAAUUGGUUGAAUUUUGAUUUCAUCUUUCUUGGUAUUUGAUUAGAAUAACUUCACUGAAAAAGAAGAAGAAGAAAAGUUAAAUCGUCAAAAGAAUUUAUGCACAAAUAGAAAUAGAAAUAGAAUAACAUCUCUUACCAUUUUUUUAAUAACCGUUCCCUAAUUAUUUUGCUUUAUCUAUUAAUGUUUUUUUUAAAAAAAAAAUUAAUGUUCACUUGUCAUUUUCAGAUUUUGCCUAUUUUAAAAUUAAAAUUAGAAAACCGUAAUCAAUUUUUAAUUUUAGGAAAAAAAGAAACAUGAUGUGUUUUGCUAUAAAUAAGGAGGUUGUGAAAAAUUAUUUUUCCACAAAAAAAAAAAUCACACGUUACAACACCAUUUUUUAGAAUGAUUUUAAUUUUUUUAAAAUUUAAUUGUGAAAACUUCUUUAAAAUUGUUUUUAAAAUAAAAAAAAAAGUAUUUAAUUAAUUGUGACAAUAUAAAAAUAGUAUUUGACCGUACAAUAUAUAUAUAUAUAUAUUAGAAAAAAUAGCAAAUUAAAAUGAGUGAUUAAUUGUGAAUAGGAAACGUGUUUGUUUCAAAUUUCUAUUUGACACCUGUAAAUAGUUGGUUUAAUUAAUUGUUAUUUAAAUUAUUAAAAUGAGUGAUUAAUUGUGAAUAGUACACGUGUUUGUUUCAAUUUUUUUCAUGAAUGACGUAAACAGACUGCAAAUAUAUAAUUAAUUGAUAUUUUAAAGUUUUAAAAAUAAGAUUAAUUGAGACGCUGACACGUAAGCGCUAUCACCUCUCCUAUUUUUUUUAUAUAUAAUAGAUAAGUAGAUGGAGGACUUAAAUCAUGUCUUCAAUUAUUGUUCAUUUUUUUCCUCACUUGACUUAGUCAAGAAAUAGUUUCUGUCAUUGGAAAUUUCUUACAAGUUUUGCAGAAUCUUUUUCCACAUAAAUAUGGGACCGAUUUCACAGUCUCUUGCCUAACACACACUGCGGCGAUACUUAAUGAACACGACAUCUAGAAAAAAUUAGGACAUAGCGAGUAUUAUUUUGUUAAGUCUUCUCCGUCCCCUAACAAGUCUUGUGGAACACUCCAAAAUAUGAGUAACGAGUUGUUAAAAGUGACUUUGAGUCUUCCUAGAAAUUGACUUAACACUUGGGACAACUUUUUUUGUAACCACAAAUUAUAACCUCAUUUUAUUUGUCUGGAUGUGUUUCUUUUCUUUCGUUAAUUUACACCUCAUAGCCUCAUGCAUAGACAAGUCAACAACGUUACUUUAUCAAAUAGUGUUUAGUUAACUGUUUACUUUAUUUAAUAUGGAGGUCGUUGUAAUAAUUAAAAAAUAAAAUAGUGUUUAGAUAAUUAUAACAUUCUUUCUUAUAUGACUACUAGUCCUGGGCACGUGCAUUGCACGUGUGUCCCAUACUAAAUUAUGUGGAAUUGUUAUGACGAUAUAUAUAUACUUGAACAUGUAUGUUGCCCAUGUAUCUCAUUCUUAAUUAGUACAAGAACUUUGAAAACAUUAUAAUUUGUGUGUGAUAAGUUGCACAAAAAUUGAAGAUUUCCAUACGUAAUAAGAAGUUGUUGUCGAAUGAGAGUAGUGUUUUGGUUUUAAAUAGAAAUCUGAUCAAUCUAUGUCUUCCUUAAGAUGGAUAGAAGAUGAUCAUUAUGUGAUAACUUGCAUAGUGAUUGAAGAGAAAAAAUACAAGCUCAAACCAAUGAAUGGUUAGCCUAUUCAAUAAAAAAUUAUUAUUAGUAGAAGGUACAUUAUGCUGAAAUAUUGCUAUCAAGUGAAUUUCAAAAGUAAUAUUCGAACAAUUUUAAUUAUGUAUUUAUUUAAUAUAUCAAGUAUUCAACUUGAUAAAAGUUUUGUUAAUAUGUCACAACACAUAAUUUAAGUAUCUCUUAUUGGUAAAAUAUUUCAUGUUCUAAAAUUUUUGCCUUCUUUCUAAGAAACUGUAGCCUCCACCUUAUAAAUCACAUACAGGUCAAGAAGUUGUUAUCGAAUGUGAAUUGUGUUUUGUCUAUUAUACAUACGUGUACCCCUUGCCUAAUUCAAAAUUACUAUAUGGUAGCUUGGUAAAGAGUAGAAAACAAAAGAAACAAAAUAAUAUCAGUAACAUAUAUAUCUAAUAACAAUGUUUUGAGGCAAAGGGAGAUAAAUAGAUUAUUAGAAAAGGUAAUACAUAGGAAGAUGGAAAAUAGAAAUAAUUAAUAAUAACCAAGGUAAUCUACAUUGUAUUACAAUGAAUUUGAAGCGUAUGUAAUUAAUUUAUAAUGGUGAAAAUAAAUUGCACACUCUAAAAAAUAACCAAACUUUAUCACUAAAACUAAUAAAUUAAAUUAACUAUUUGUAGUUCUUUUUAUAAAAUCAUGAAUUGACAAUCACUUCUAUAUGAAAAAAGAAGGCAAAGGAAUGGUGAUUACAUUAGGAAAUAAAUCAUUGUUAUAUUUUUAAGAGUGAAAUCGAAAAUUGGAAAAUGAGAAAGGAGGACUACAACAAUCAUAUGCAAAAUUCAAAUGUGCUUACAAUAUAAAUCAACUCUAAAUAUGUCUUUUUCACGAUAUUUGGAAUGUCUUUUACUAAUAUUUCUUUGAAGGAACUACCACUCCAAUUAUGAAACCCCAUAAACAGUAAAAAAAAAAUCAAACUAAGAAAGCAUCUAUAUUAUUAAAAAAUCAGGGAUGAAUUAUAAACGCACAUACCUUAUGAUUUACAAAUGAGAAUAAUAUGGAAGAAAAAGUAUUCACCUAAAUGUCCUGUUAUAAGCAAAGAAAUACACUACAUCAGACAUGAAACAGAAAAAAAUAAAUUAAAACGAUGAAAAUAAAAUGAGGGAAAAAUAUAUAUCAUAAUAUUAUGUUGCAACUGAAGUGAAGCAUAUUAAAAAAUCAGGGAUGAAUUAUAAACGCACAUACCUUAUGAUUUACAAAUGAGAAUAAUAUGGAAGAAAAAGUAUUCACCUAAAUGUCCUGUUAUAAGCAAAGAAAUACACUACAUCAGACAUGAAACAUAAAAAAAUAAAUUAAAACGAUGAAAAUAAAAUGAGGGAAAAAAAUAUAUCAUAAUAUUACGUUGCAACUGAAGUGAAGCAGCCCUAUUACCUUAUAUGAUAAUUGCAUUUAUAUAAAUUAUAUUAAGUGCACAAAAAAGGAAAAUGAAACGGUAUAUUCAGGAAGUGCUUUCAUCUUCAUUCAAUAUAUAUAAUUAUAUAGAGUAUUAACUUAAGAUUUAAUUGAGUAAUAAAUUGGGGAAGAGGAAAGAUUAGAUAAUUUAGACAGUUUUUGGUAUUGGGUAAGAGGAAAGGUUAGAUAAUUUAGAGAGUUAUUGGUCUAUUUUUUUUUAAAAAAAUGUAAAUGAAGAAAGGAAAGGGUUCUUUUUCCUAAUACAAAAAAACCAAAAGUUUUUAAGUAUAAAAAAAUAUGAUCUGAUCGUUGCCUCUUUGAUUUUUUUAUUUUCUAUUUAUUAUUUUAUUAUACAAAACAAUUAAAGCUUAACAAGUAUAGAAUUAUAUUACAACCAUUUAUUAAAAAAUCUCUUUUUUUAGUUGAAGGGUAUUUUUGUAAUUCAACUUUUAACUUGGGAGCUUCCCACUUAUAAUAAUAUAUGAUGAUGAUUUAUUUUAUUGACUUAUUUAUAUAUUGACGAUCUUCAUGAACCCAUAUUAUUAUUUUUACCUUUUUUAUUCCUAUUACUAUUUUUAUUUAUUCAUUAUUGAAUAUUCUAAUGCCUAUCAAACGGUAAAACCUUUUGCAUUAUACAAAAUAAAUUGUUGGGUGUCAAAAAAAAGUUCAAAUUUGUUUUUUGGUGUAUUCUUUGAAUUACAAACACUGCAACAAACACUACAACAAAAACAACUUUUAGCGGCAAUAAAGAUACACAUUAAUAAAGAGUGUUAAAGAUUUUACCGGUAUUAGUUAAGUGUCAUUAGAUCCAAUGUCGCAAAAAGCUUUAGGGACAUAUGCAAAGAGUGUUAAUUGCCGUUAAAAAUACAUAUUUAGCGGCAAUUAAACUUAAUUAAUUGCCGUUAUAAAUCAUUUUUGAUGUAGUGAAAUCAAUACCAUUUUAAUAUUAUUAUAUCAACUUAUCAAAUUCAGCGUAAUUAUUUCAAUACCAUUGUAUAAUCUUCUUAAUGUUUUGAGUAAGAUUUGAUUAUUUUAACUUAAUAUUAUAUUUUUUCAUUGAAAAUUUUUGUUGUUUGUAUUCUUACUUCAUAUAUAAAGGUCUGCGUAUAUCCUACCUUCUUGAAACUUUACUUGUUGGAUUACAUUAAUCAGUAUGUUAUAGGUAUUCAAUUUAUGUAUGACAACUGAAACUAGUAUAUAUAUAUGUGGAUAAUGCUGAUUGAUUUGUAAGAAGAGAACAAACAUCCUGUUAUUUGCUGAAAACAAACAAACAAAAAUGGGACGUUUCUUUUCUUUUAUUCAUUUCUCUGUUUUGUGUUGCUAAUAAGUGAAUGUUUUUCUUCUUCCUUUGAUCAUCAUCUUUGCUCUCCCACUGAAGCUUCUGCUUUGCUUCUGUUCAAACAAUCCUUUCAAAAUAUGUCCGAAGAGUACUGUAGUUAUUGGUGUGAUGAAGAUUGUUUCCCAAAAACAAAGUCUUGGAAUGAGAGUAGGGAUUGCUGCAGUUGGGAUGGAGUCACUUGUGACUUAUUAAACGGUCAUGUUAUCGGGUUAGACCUUAGUUGCAGUCAGGUUAGUGGAACUUUUCAUCCCAAUAGCAGCCUCUUCCAACUUCAUCAUCUCCAGACACUAAACCUUGCUNNNNNNNNNNNNNNNNNNNNNNNNNNNNNNNNNNNNNNNNNNNNNNNNNNNNNNNNNNNNNNNNNNNNNNNNNNNNNNNNNNNNNNNNNNNNNNNNNNNNNNNNNNNNNNNNNNNNNNNNNNNNNNNNNNNNNNNNNNNNNNNNNNNNNNNNNNNNNNNNNNNNNNNNNNNNNNNNNNNNNNNNNNNNNNNNNNNNNNNNNNNNNNNNNNNNNNNNNNNNNNNNNNNNNNNNNNNNNNNNNNNNNNNNNNNNNNNNNNNNNNACCUUUCCAAUUUGGUUUCACUUGAUCUUUCUGAUAGUUAUGAAUUACAACUUGAUGAGAGAACAUUUGAAACAAUGCUUCACAACUUUACAAAUCUGGAGUUACUAGCUCUCCCUCUUGGUGACAUCUCAUCACCGAUACCUGUAAGUAUUCAUCCCAAUAGCAGCCUCUUCCAGCUUCAUCAUCUCCACACACUAAACCUUGAUAAUAAUUACUUGAAUCCUUCUUCUUCGAUCCCACAUAACAUUGGCCGAUUGAGGAAUUUGAGGCAUCUCAACCUUUCUGAUGCUUNNNNNNNNNNNNNNNNNNNNNNNNNNNNNNNNNNNNNNNNNNNNNNNNNNNNNNNNNNNNNNNNNNNNNNNNNNNNNNNNNNNNNNNNNNNNNNNNNNNNNNNNNNNNNNNNUACAAAUCUGGAGNNNNNNNNNNNNNNNNNNNNNNNNNNNNNNNNNNNNNNNNNNNNNNNNNNNNNNNNNNNNNNNNNNNNNNNNNNNNNNNNNNNNNNNNNNNNNNNNNNNNNNNNNNNNNNNNNNNNNNNNNNNNNNNNNNNNNNNNNNNNNNNNNNNNNNNCAAUCCCAAAUGGCAUUGGCCGAUUGAGGAAUUUGAGGCAUCUAAAACUCUCUGGCUUUGAUGGGAAAAUCCCAACAGAAAUCUCAUACCUUUCCAAUUUGGUUUCACUUCAUCUUUCUGGUUAUGGAUUACAACUUGAUGAGAGAACAUUUGAAGCAAUGUUUCAGAACUUGAC